rnacentral:rRNA from 1 species
GACGAACGCUGGCGGCGUGCUUAACACAUGCAAGUCGAACGGAAAGGCCCUGCUUUUGUGGGGUGCUCGAGUGGCGAACGGGUGAGUAACACGUGAGUAACCUGCCCUUGACUUUGGGAUAACUUCAGGAAACUGGGGCUAAUACCGGAGAGGAGCUCCUGAUGCAUGGUGGGGGUUGGAAAGUUUCGGCGGUUGGGGAUGGACUCGCGGCUUAUCGGCUUGUUGGUGGGGUAGUGGCUUACCAAGGCUUUGACGGGUAGCCGGCCUGAGAGGGUGACCGGCCUCAUUGGGACUGAGCUACGGCCCAGACUCCUACGGGAGGCAGCAGUGGGGAAUAUUGCACAAUGGGCCGAAGCCUGAUGCAGCCACGCCGCGUGCGGGAUGACGGCCUUCGGGUUGUAAACCGCUUUCGCCUGUGACGAAGCGUGAGUGACGGUAAUGGGUAAAGAAGCACCGGCUAACUACGUG